GGGCGAGAAGAAGCCUUCUGAGCCCAAAGCCAUGCCGGACCUCAACGGGUACCAGAUUCGGGUGUGAGGCACGUGGCAGUGCCCAGCCUCACCACUGCUGGCUGGGAUCCGUCUGCCAGAACCAGCCUCAUUCGUGGGGAGGGAGGGGCUGGUGACCGGGCAGGGUGGGAGGCAGCAGGAAGAGCCUGUCCCAGCUCAGCCACCCAAGCUGCUGCCCCUCCCGCUGGGCCAAGCCCCCUAACUUUGGGCCAAGAAGCAGUUAGUAUUUUCUUUGGAGUUUUUAACCCAGUAACUGAAGUUUAAGGGAUUUGGGGAAAACAAAACUAAUGGAUCUGCCGGUGGCUGGAAGGCCAGUGCUUAGGACAUCUAAGUGCCACAAGGCUGAGCAAGGAGGGGGUUGCUGGCUCUGCUGGUGUCCCUCUGGGAUUUGAGUCCAUCCUACCUGUGGGAAAUUUCCCAGCCCCCUAAGCCUGUGGCAGGAUGGGGGUGGGGAAGGGGGAGGGACGGAGGUGUUCCUCCAGUUCUGUCUGCCCUGGCAGAAUCUUGAGCCAGGGAACGGGAAGCAGGGUAGAAAUCAUCCUGGGAAAGGUCUGUGUGGCCAAUAUCAGGAGCUUGGCACAAGGCCACAUCUGCCCCAAGAGCAGAGUCCAUGGCCCAGGACAGCCCUGUGUGCUUGUGGCCCAUGGACAGUGCUGUGUGGGCUGCAGGAGAGCCCAGGAGAGACCACUGGGGGAGGAAAUCCCAGGCCCAGCUCCUACCUAGUCUCCUUACUUAGCCCAGCUCUGCCUGUUGCUGAAGCCCAGGGGGCUCCCUGCAGAGGGGCUGAGCCUCGCCAAAGGCCCAGAGUUGCCCUGGGCUCAGCAUGACUGUAGGGACUGAGCAGACCCAGUGGGUCCAGGAAGCAUGGCUGGGGACAGAGUAAGACACUUGGGCCCGGGGCUAUCCCCUGGCAGUCCUGUCCCCAAGGGUGGGGGUGAGAGGCACUGCUACUCCCCCCUUUCUAUUACCUCAGUCCUUGCUGUGAAAACAAAGACCAGAUCAGGAUGCUUGUGCCUCGUGCCUGUCUCCCCUCAUUUAGCAACCUGUCUAGGUUUGGGGGUACCAGUGAUGAUCAGAUUUGUUGCAUGUGGCUUGUCAGGGAAGAAUCUGAAUAGCUGGAGACUACACAGUCUGCCUGGCAAGUGUGAGAUACCUGGCAGGCAAGUGAGAGGUGGAAGGAAGUUGGCAGGGUUGGGGGAAGGUUCUGGAGGCUCAAACAACAAGGACGUGGUAGGGCAAGGGUGCGGCUGACACCACAGAGGAGUAAAGACUGAGAAAUGAGGAGCGUAAGUGAGAAAAGGAUGUGGGGGAGAGUUUAGAAUCGGGCUGCUUGGGGAAUAGUGAGUUCUCUGUUGCUGGAAGUAUCCAAGCAAAGUUUGGAUGGCUACUUGUCAGAAAGCUGUAGAGAGGGUUCAGGUUAUGGAAGGGGUAGCAGGAUGAGAGGACCAUCAAGGUUUCAUUGCACUGAAAUGGCUGGGGUUCAGCCAGGGGCUAGGCCCUGGAAAAAGGAGGACCAAAACCUCAGAUGCCCACGGGGCCAGACGGGGGAUUAAAAGGGCAGCAGGGCUGGGUGGGCACUGUGGCAAAUGAGAGAGGGCAUAUCCCUUUCAAGCAGCAACUCUUGCUCAGCUAUUCUCAGAAUGUGGGCCCUGCAUUACCAGAUUGUCUGAUUUUUUUUCCAGAAGCCAGAACUCUGAAUUUUUUAUAUGAAAUAUCCUGAUUUUUAAAUGUUGGCAAUCAGUUCAGAAAAUGUAAAAACCCACCAUGAAAGAGAAUGCCAGUUUGUAAUCUCUGAGGUAGAGUUUGCGCUGGGGAGAAGUCCAGUGAGAUGCUUUCAGAACAGUUUGAGGCUUCCCAGAGCAAGCUGGGCCAGGGCAGCGUCCUCGCCGCUGAAGCUUCUCCCGGGGAGGGCAACUGGCCCAGGUUUGUCCUCUUCACGCUCCUUGCCGACCAGAGACCCACCAGGGUCACCAGUGGGGGUGGAGUAGAGAUGGCACAGUUCCCAGCCUGCCAGGGAGAUGGAUGGGGCCUGAGAAGCAGAGAAAGAGGGAGGGAGGGAGACAGGAUGCCUUUGCUGAUGCGAGUGCUGUCGGGGAAGCCCCAGGGGCUGGCAGCUCUCCACACCAGCAGCUUCUGGCCCAGAGCCAGGCCCAGCAGGAGGGCCAGCUGGGCAGUCCCUUGGGUUAUUCAGGGGUCACUGGGCCCUGGGGAGGGACCUAACCUGCCCCUGGACUGUAGUCCCCAGCCAGACCAAUUCAAGGGCCGUCAUGACCCCUGACUCACCAUCCCAUCCCAUCCCUGUUUUUAGGGAGUGGGGUGGUGGUCCCCAUGUUUCCACAUCGACCAGAGGCAGGGAUGGCUCACUCUGGGAGGCGUGCAGCCGAAAAUGAAUGAGGCCUUUUCUAGGUCUAUGUGUGGGUGCCUCCUGCAAGCCACUUAGCAACAGGGGAGGGACUCAGGACCUGUGGACCUGUGGACCCCAGGGCUCGAGAGAAGAGAGGGGAGAGGGGAUUAGGGUCAGGGAGACGGGGGGGGGGGGGGAGUUGCUCAAUCCACAGGCUCCUUCCCCAGAGCCCUCUGGGGAGACAGAGUGAAAUGAGGCCCACCCCUGUUGCUGCCCGCAAGAGGGAGCUGAUCACCCUGAGCUGAUAACCCCCAGGAGCCCCCUUCCUCGCUGAGACCUUGGGCCUGUGGAGGCCACCACAGGAUACAGCGGUGCUUUUUAAUUUAUUUUUAACAUUUUCUCAUAUGUAGCAACCCCUCCUCCCCUCCUGAGCAUGUUUACACAGGCUCUGCUCCCUGGGGCUGGCCUGACUGCAGUUUCUGGGGAGGCAGAGGCAGGGACUUUGGGGCCUUAGUCACCAUCCUUGGUUUCACCUCAUCUACUUCCUGUGAGGAACAGGGGUCUGGCUCCUGACUCAGGACUGCCUUCCAUCACCCAGUGGGGGCUCCUCUGCCCCUAGGGGUGGGAGCUGCUGGCUGAGGAGGGCCCAAGGUGAGGUCAGAGAAAGCUGCUUAAUGAAGGUGGGUCGGGGUGGCGAUGACCGCUCCCCAAAGCCCGGCUCCUUGUGCUCAGUGCCAGCUCAGAACACUGGGAAACAGUGUUUAGAGCACCUUCCUGCCCACCUUAACUGCCAGUCCUCUCCCUCCCAUGGCCUCAACACAGUCAUGUUCCCCUCAUGCCAGACCCCAUCCUUCCU
rnacentral:lncRNA from 1 species